rnacentral:tRNA from 1 species
GGGCGGUUAGCUCAGUUGGUUUAGAGCGUCACAUUGACAUUGUGAAGGUCGCAGGUUCAAAUCCUGCACCGCCCA